GGAAGAUAGAUGAGAAUGGGAACCUUUCCUUAGGAAAAGUUCGAAACUCUUAAGAAAACCUUUCAAUAAUUAAAAAGAAUUGCUUUCAGACUAAGUUAUUUAGGGAGUGUGAGAAUUAAUCAGAAAAGCUUCAGAAUAACCCAAGCAAAUUAUGGUUGAUUUGAGUCAGAAACGAAUUUAUGCUACUGCCCAAAAGGCUAGCAGGUCAUUAUGGGAUUAAGGGUUAAGUAACAGCCACCUUGGAAAAGCCUUUCUCAGGAAAGGUGGAGAGUUUAUUUUUAAUUAAACUUUCCCUUUACUUAGACCUCCAGAGGCCCUGUGUCAUCAGUGGUGAUUAAGACUAGAAAUGAGAAAGACACAAGGUGGCCAGAUAGUCCCAGAGCCAAAAGCUUUUGAACUAUAGUCUUAUCUGCAACUAAAGGAUUUUAUAUUCUGCACUGUUUGGAGAAUGUAAGUAAAAUCCAAAAUUUUAUCCAGUGGUCCUAAUCUCCUUCCACCCAUAUUAUUUAGUGAAACAGGCUUUUCUGAAGAGAAGCAGCACAAUGCAAAUAUUUGAAUCUCUCUUCAUUUUCCUCUCCCUCCAAGCAAGGCACAGAAGUCAUGGUUUAAAGCAGAAGAGGGUGAAAGAGCCUUCCUUUGGAGUAAAUACAGCCAGACAAGAAGGGUCGCUGCCCACUACACCCAUUUGGGGGGCCACUGCAGUAGAACGCUGUGUCUGACUUGGUCCCUGGGUGUGGUUGCUGCAUCUUGCUCAUCUCCCCAUGGCUAAUGCUUAACACAAAUCCUGGACUGUGACUUGAAAACGGACACCUUCUUCCUAAUAUAAUCCAGCCCACGAAAUAUUCCUCUGAGUCAGCAAUCUCUUGACCGAGGGGAACAUGCUACAGAUCCUGGGAAAGAGAGUGAAGGAAAUUAGCAAAUGGCAGCUUCCUGCACUUUGCCACAAACAAUAACAAA
rnacentral:lncRNA from 1 species